rnacentral:misc_RNA from 1 species
AAUGCAUUAUGUUAACUGUUGAUUUAAUUGAAACAAUGGUCCUUCAGAGAGUGAAGCAAGAAAGGGUCUGUUGACCUGAGCUAGGUUGUUGGAUUAAAAGUUUGUCAAGAGUAACUUAAUGGGGUUUGUUUUAAUUGUUGAGAUUACUUUUCUUGAAUUCUCAUGUUAUUUUAUGAAUAAAAUAUUUAAUUUGAAUUCAGCAUUCAGAAACUAAGAAUCAGAAAUGAAUUAGAAUUUGUGACCAUCUG